rnacentral:rRNA from 1 species
GGCGAACGGGUGAGUAACGCGUUGGUGACCUGCCCCAAAGUGUGGGAUAACAGUCCGAAAGGAUUGCUAAUACCGCAUGUGGUCAUUGGGUUUAGAAACUAAUGACUAAAGCAGCAAUGCGCUUUGGGAGGGACCUGCGUCCCAUCAGCUAGUUGGUGAGGUAACGGCUCACCAAGGCGACGACGGGUAGGGGACCUGAGAGGGUGACCCCCCACAAUGGAACUGAAACACGGUCCAUACACCUACGGGUGGCAGCAGUAGGGAAUAUUGCUCAAUGGGCGAAAGCCUGAAGCAGCAACGCCGCGUGCGCGAUGAAGGUCUUCGGAUCGUAAAGCGCUUUUCUGCGAGAUGAGAAAGGACAGUAUCGUAGGAAUAAGUCUCGGCUAACUACGAGCCAGCAGCCGCGGUAACACGUAGGAGGCGAGCGUUAUCCGGAUUCACUGGGCGUAAAGCGCGUGCAGGCGGUUUGGUAAGUUGGGCGUGAAAGCUCCCGGCUCAAC